rnacentral:lncRNA from 1 species
GGGGAAGUCGGGGGCGGAGCCGCGGGGUGGUGGGUGUGUGUGUGUGUGUGUGUGUGUGUGUGUGUGUGUGUGUUUGGCUGUGGGUUAGUUGUGCCGUUCUGCUGGAACACCGUGGGAAGGCAGUAGACGCGGGCAGUCAGCUAGCAGCUCCGGUCUGAUAUACAAAAACGACUGCAGGAAGACCCCAACUACAGUCCCCAGCGCUUCCCCAAUGCCCAGCGGGCCUUUGCUGAUGAUCCUUAGCUCUUUCUUUGCUCUAUGGCCCUUCCUCAUCAGGGGACCGUUUCCCCCCUCUUCCUUCACAGUAUUUAAGAAAUAAAAGUCGGAUUUUUCUGGCUGCUUUCUCUCUA